UACGGAGGGGGCUAGCGUUAUUCGGAAUUAUUGGGCGUAAAGGGCGCGUAGGCGGCCCGGUAAGUCAAAGGUGAAAUCCCUCGGCUCAACUGAGGAACUGCCUUUGAAACUGUCGGGCUUGAGGCCGGGAGGGGGUAGCGGAAUUCCCAGUGUAGCGGUGAAAUGCGUAGAUAUUGGGAGGAACACCGGUGGCGAAGGCGGCUCUCUGGACCGGUACUGACGCUGAGACGCGAAAGCCUGGGGAGCAAACGGG
rnacentral:rRNA from 1 species